CACCCAGUCUACAGGGGGCCGAAAGCAUGGCGCGGCGGCGGUGUCGCCUCUCCUCCUAUCCCGACCUCGCGCGGCAACCCCUUCCGCCACUUAUCAGCCCGCCCAGUGCGUUGCCACCUCUCCAUUUACCCCGACCAAGCGGUGGAACCUACCGCGACUCGUCGAUUUGCCCGGUGGCGGCGCUGAACGCACCAGCAUCCCCAGGAUCUCUGCUGUCCAAGACGGCAACCAUGCUUUCGGCCUACUCCUCGCCAGUCGUGCCUUCCCCUGGUGGUGCGAGCAGGAUGAGCAGAGAGUUGAAGCUAUCUAAGUAUACCCAAGGGAUCUGAAAUUUACAUCAAAUGGUUCAAGAGCUGGCACCUCCUCCCCCACGCAUGCUCAUUGCAGCAUGGGAAGGCCACGCGCGACGGUGUUGCUGCUGGGGAGAUCAGUGACGAGGGUGGCUGGGAAAAACAAAAUCAUGGUGUGGAACUGAAUUUAUUCUAGGUUAGGUCAAUGAGGGUUUAUAACUUGGUACAAAGUUUCGCGAGGACUCAGCUUCUUGGGAUGCAGAAGGGAAAGUUAAGUUGAUAUUUCUUAAUUAAUGAAAAACAUGUCAAGAGGAACAUGUGUCCUUAUAUAGGUACUAUUCGAGAGAUGGUUCUAUCAUGCGUAGUUAAAACUUGCCUAUUGACAAACAAUCACCUGCUGCAAAUGACGCAUGGGUGUUGCAGAUCAUGCAUCAUGGGUAUUUGCUUCUAAUAUGAUGAUUCAAUCAUUCUACUUUUGGUCCAAUGGCAAGGAUACACUGACUCUGAUUCUUUUUUGAGUUUCUAUGGACAUUGCUUGAUCUGGAUUACGAUAAGAGAUCAAUUGUUAAGUCUGUACCGAACCACAUAUUUAUUACUGAGCAGUACUAUAGUCUCUUAGUUAUGCUUUUAAAA